rnacentral:rRNA from 1 species
AUGGCGUCGAGGGCUGUGAUGGUGGCGGUGCUGGUCGCCGCGGUGGCGGCGACGUGCGCGCGGGCGCAGCUGCACGAGAAGUUCUACGGCGAGUCGUGCCCCAGCGUGGAGGACGUCGUGAGGAAGGAGAUGGUGAGGGCGCUGUCACUGGCGCCCAGCCUCGCCGGGCCGCUCCUCCGGAUGCACUUCCACGACUGCUUCGUCAGGGGGUGCGACGGCUCGGUUCUGCUGGACUCGGCCAACAAGACGGCGGAGAAGGACGCGAAGCCGAACCAGACGCUCCGUGGCUUCAACUUCGUCGAGAAGGUGAAGGCCGCCGUGGAGAAGGCCUGCCCUGACACCGUCUCCUGCGCCGACAUACUCGCCCUCAUGGCCAGGGACGCAGUCUGGCUGGUGAGUACCACUACAAUACUAAGCAAAUUUGCAAAUGCCACGAGUCCGUACGUGUGGAAGCUGGAUUCUCAAUGCUGCUCGAUCAUGGUUUUUUUCCAGAGCAAGGGCCCAUUCUGGGAAGUUCCUUUGGGCCGGCGUGACGGCAGCGUGUCCAUCUCCAACGAGACCAACCAGCUGCCACCCCCGACCGCCAACUUCACCGUGCUCACCCAGCUCUUCGCCGCCAAGAACCUCGACUCCAAGGACCUCGUCGUCCUCUCCGCCGGGCACACCAUCGGGACGUCGCACUGCUUCUCCUUCUCCGACCGUCUCUACAACUUCACCGGCAGGGUGAACCCCACCGACAUUGACCAUACACUGGAACCGCAGUACAUGGCGAAGCUGAGGAACAAGUGCACCAGCCUCAACGACAACACCACGCUCGUGGAGAUGGACCCUGGGAGCUUCAGGACCUUCGACCUCGCCUACUUCAAGAACGUCGUCAAGCGGAGGGGCCUCUUCCACUCCGACGGCGCGCUGCUCACCAACGCCUUCACCCGCGCCUACGUCGAGCGCCAUGCCGGCGGCGGCUACAAGGAGGAGUUCUUCGCCGACUUCGCCGCCUCCAUGAUCAAGAUGGGCAACGCCGACGUGCUCACUGGGAGCCAGGGCGAGAUCAGGAAGAAGUGCAACGUACCCAAUCAUUAA